GAUGAACGCUGGCGGCGUGCCUAAUACAUGCAAGUCGAGCGAACAGACGAGGAGCUUGCUCCUCUGACGUUAGCGGCGGACGGGUGAGUAACACGUGGAUAACCUACCUAUAAGACUGGGAUAACUUCGGGAAACCGGAGCUAAUACCGGAUAAUAUAUUGAACCGCAUGGUUCAAUAGUGAAAGACGGUUUUGCUGUCACUUAUAGAUGGAUCCGCGCCGCAUUAGCUAGUUGGUAAGGUAACGGCUUACCAAGGCAACGAUGCGUAGCCGACCUGAGAAGGUGAUCGGCCACACUGGAACUGAGACACGGUCCAGACUCCUACGGGAGGCAGCAGUAGGGAAUCUUCCGCAAUGGGCGAAAGCCUGACGGAGCAACGCCGCGUGAGUGAUGAAGGUCUUCGGAUCGUAAAACUCUGUUAUUAGGGAAGAACAAAUGUGUAAGUAACUAUGCACGUCUUGACGGUACCUAAUCAGAAAGCCACGGCUAACUACG
rnacentral:rRNA from 1 species